rnacentral:misc_RNA from 1 species
GAUGAAGAACGUAGCGAAAUGCGAUAAGUAGUGUGAAUUGCAGAAUUCAGUGAAUCAUCGAAUCUUUGAACGCACAUUGCGCCCCUUGGUAUCCCGAGGGGCAUGCCUGUUCGAGCGUCAUUUCACCACUCAAGCCUGGCUUGGUGUUGGGCGACGUCCCCUUUGGGGACGCGCCUCGAAACGCUCGGCGGCGUGGCACCGGCUUUAAGCGUAGCAGAAUCUUUCGCUUUGGAAGUCGGGGCCCCGUCUGCCGGAAGACCUACGCGCAAGGUUGACCUCGGAUCAGGCAGGGAUACCCGCUGAACUUAAGCAUAUCAAUAAGCGGAGGA